rnacentral:rRNA from 1 species
UGGGGAAUAUUGCACAAUGGGCGAAAGCCUGAUGCAGCGACGCCGCGUGAGGGAUGACGGCCUUCGGGUUGUAAACCUCUUUCAGCAGGGAAGAAGCGAAAGUGACGGUACCUGCAGAAGAAGCGCCGGCUAACUACGUGCCAGCAGCCGCGGUAAUACGUAGGGCGCAAGCGUUGUCCGGAAUUAUUGGGCGUAAAGAGCUCGUAGGCGGUUAGUCGCGUCUGCUGUGAAAACUCGAGGCUCAACCUCGGGCUUGCAGUGGGUACGGGCUGACUAGAGUGCGGUAGGGGUGACUGGAAUUCCUGGUGUAGCGGUGGAAUGCGCAGAUAUCAGGAGGAACACCGAUGGCGAAGGCAGGUCACUGGGCCGCAACUGACGCUGAGGAGCGAAAGCAUGGGGAGCGAACAGGAUUAGAUAGCCCUGGUAGUCCAUGCCGUAAACGUUGGGCACUAGGUGUGGGUCCAUUCCACGGAUUCCGUGCCGCAGCAAAGCGCAUUAAG